AACACCUCGGCUCAGCCUCCUCUCUUCUUCUCUUCUUGAGGGGUGUGUAUGCAGUCCACUUUUGAGGCCAGAGGGAAAUCUCCGAGGACAAAUUAACACACUGCAGGAAACUCCAGCAGAAGUCUAAUGGCACCUGAAAAAAUAGAAAGAGGAGAUCAAGGGGUGUGUAUGCAGUCCACUUUUGAGGCCAGAGGGAAAUCUCCGAGGACAAAUUAACACACUGCAGGAAACUCCAGCAGAAGUCUAAUGGCACCUGAAAAAAUAGAAAGAGGAGAUCAAGGGGUGUGUAUGCAGUCCACUUUUGAGGCCAGAGGGAAAUCUCCGAGGACAAAUUAACACACUGCAGGAAACUCCAGCAGAAGUCUAAUGGCACCUGAAAAAAUAGAAAGAGGAGAUCAGUUAAGAUAUUCUCACUGUAUAUAUAAUUUUAAAAGACUUUGUGUGUACCUGGUCA